ACUCCAUGACAUGGACAUUAACAUUGCGAGUCCUUGAACCGCUCCCAUGCUUCAUACAGAGAUUCACCAUGGUGUUAAGUGAAACUCGUGAUCUCUUAUAUAAAUUU
rfam:Ricinus communis cultivar Hale ctg_1100012362047, whole genome shotgun sequence.